GAACUGUAGAGUUUGAUCCUGGCUCAGAUUGAACGCUGGCGGCAUGCCUUACACAUGCAAGUCGAACGGUAACAGGUUAAGCUGACGAGUGGCGAACGGGUGAGUAAUGUAUCGGAACGUGCCCAGUCGUGGGGGAUAACUGCUCGAAAGAGCAGCU
rnacentral:rRNA from 1 species